rnacentral:antisense_RNA from 1 species
CUUCACCGAGCCGAGCAGGACCGGUUCGGUGCGGUCCUGACCGUAGGUGGCCAGCAACGCGUGUGCCUC